CAUAUGAUGGCAUAUAUUACAUUGGUGGACGUGCAGUAUGCACAUUUUGAUCAGAGAGAGAGAGAGAGAGAGAUAUUUCUGACCCCCUUGAAAAAAGCACCCUCUAAAAGGUAAAAAACUCAGUAUCAAACGAAGCAGCUGUAACAUUUGGAGGCGUCAUAAGACCCAGUCUCAGCAAACUGGGAUGUUUCAUUACCUUAAAUAUAGGUUUGGUGGUCUACUGCUUUUUGGAAUUAGUCAAACUAUUUCCUUGGAAUAAUGUUCUUAGCAUGUAGUCUAUUCACCCUGAGUAUCAUACUCCUCAA